rnacentral:rRNA from 1 species
AUUGAACGCUGGCGGCAGGCCUAACACAUGCAAGUCGAGCGAGCGGCGGACGGGUGAGUAAUGUCUGGGAACCUGCCUGAGGGGGAGGGAUAACUGAUGGAAACGGUAGCUAAUAAAGCAUACCAUCAGAACUGCCCAGAUGGGAUUAGCUAGUAGGUGGGGUAAUGGCUCACCAAGGCGACGAUCCCUAGCUGGUCUGAGAGGACGACCCGCCACCCUGGAACUGAGACACGGUCCAGACCCCUACGGGAGGCGGCAGGGGGGAAUAUUGCACAAUGGGCGAAAGCCUGAUGCAGCCAUGCCGCGUGUGGGAAGAAGGCCUUCGGUUGUUAAAGAACUUUCAGCGGGGAGACGUUACCCGCAGAAGAAGCACCGGCUAACUCCGUGCCAGCAGCCGCGGUAAUAC